GACGCUGAGAGGCGAAAGCUAGGGGACCGCACAGGAUUAGAGACCCUGGUAGUCCUAGCUGUAAACGCUGGAUGAUAGGUAUGGGCCAGACCGGUCCAUGCCGGAGUUAACGCGAUAAGCAUCCCGCCUGGGGAGUACGGCCGCAAGGCUUAUACUCGAACGAAUCGACGGGGACCCGCACAAGCAGCGGAGCGUGUGGUUUAAUUCGAUGGUACACGCAGAACCGGACAUGGGCGUGACAUGUAGGUGGUAGUGAAGUGAAAGAGGAGCGACCCUUCGGGGAGCUUACACAGGUGCUGCAUGGCUGUCGUCAGCUCGUGCCGUGAGGUGUCGGGUUAAGUCCCGUAUCGAGCAGCAACCCUUGUCCUUAGUUACAAGUGUCUAAGGAGACUACACGCUGACAAACCGGAGGAAGGUGGGGAUUACCUCAAGUCAGCCAUGGCCACUUAUGUCACAGGGCGACUACACAACGCUCCAAUGGUCGGUACACAAGGGCAGCGCAGCCCCGAGCUGAAGCGAAUCACCAACCAAAGCCGAUCACCAGUUCGGAUUGCAGCCUGCAACCCGCCUGCAUGAAGCCGGAGUUGCUAGUAACCGCGCGUCAGCCAUACGUGCGGUGUAUACGUUCCCGGGUCUGUACACACCGCCCGUCACA
rnacentral:rRNA from 1 species